UCCCUUGGAAAGAAAUAUCGAUUUUCCCAGUUCAAUGGCAUUCUCUAUGUAUGGGUUUGUUUGCUUCUAUCAUUGCACCAUUUGGAGGAUUCUUUGCUAGUGGAUUCAAGAGGGCUUUUAAGAUCAAGGACUUUGGAGGUAGCAUUCCAGGACAUGGUGGGUUUACUGACAGGAUGGAUUGUCAGGUCAGCCAUUGAAAGUGUAUUAUCCUUUUGAGUUCUAUUAGGGCAAAAUCUGAAUUUUAUGAUUGUAUGUGCAGAUGGUUAUGGCAAUCUUUGCAUUUAUUUAUCAUCAAUCGUUCAUUGUCUCUCAAAACUAUACUGUAGAGAUGGCUUUGGAUCAGGUAAGUUUGAAAUUGACUAAAUUUCAACUUGUGAUUAUCAUAGGAAACAUAUGAAAACCUUUUCUGGUGUGUUUUUUCUUCUUGUAUAGAUAGUGAAGAAUCUUACCUAUGAGGAACAAAAAGCACUAUACAUGAAGCUUGGACAAAUAUUCCGAGAAGGAUAUGGGAUGUAGUCUUUGGUUCAUCCCCUUUUGUUCGUCUUAGAAAUGUAAUUGCCAUGUAUAUCAAAUGACCCAAGUAUUCAAUAGUUACACAAAAAAAGUAGGCACUUACUCUGUUUUAUAAAUAAUAAUGUAUGAUUAUGUAAGAU